GCGGCGGCUGGCCGGAGGCGGGGCCAUGGCCUCGCUGGCACUGGGUCGCGAGCGGGCGGAGGAACUGCUGUCCGGGCUCGGCGACCGGGCCGCCGCG
rnacentral:tRNA from 1 species